CAUAAAUGUGAGAGCCGGAUUAUCCAUAAGGGCACUUGGGCCAGUGCCCAGGGGCACCAACCAUUCACAACCACUAGGGGGGCACCACAUGACACAAGCUUUAAAAAUAUUUUUCGUAAAUUGUUAUAUUAUUAACUUGAAAUUCUUGAAAGACCAUACAUAACUUGUUAAUGAACACUAAUUUAACAAUAAUAAUAAAUUAUAAAUAAAUGAAGAUUACAUGACCACUAUCACUCCCCCCCUCCCCAAUCUGUCAGAGUUGAGUUGGUCCACAACAAGUACGCGCAAAUGUGUCAUUUUUUUAACGGCUACAGAAAAUGAAUCAAAAUCCAAAAUGGAUAGAUGGCAAUUGAGUGGUUUCGCAAAAAGAAGAUUAAAGAAAGAGAAGGAUGCUAGACGUUUAGCUACAAUAAAAAAUGUUCCAGGGAUCGACAAUUUUUUUUGUUAAAUCACUAGUUUUUUGGGAGAACACUGGAAUUGCAGACACCAGCAGCACUAAGUCUGACACCGCUGGCGCUGCUAGCGGGGGAGAUGCAGCAGCUGCUAAUGUUAGUCAGGGCGUCGGCGAUGACCGCCAGGCGAAUGAGGAUAUUCUCCUUGUCCUUGGGGGAGACAGGAGCGAGGAAGACUCGGGUGAGGAAGAGGACAUUAAUGAAGGCUCGGCAAGUGUCCACACUUCAUUCUGAUGGAGAAUGUGAAGGGUUUCGAGACCUCUGCUGCAAGGUAACAGGAAGGCACAAGAGCACAAGAGGGGGAUCACCAUGGUUACGUGGCAUUAAGCCAAUGGGGUCAUGAAUUUACUCUCUGUUGUGCUGUUACCAUGGAUUGUGUUAAUAAGAAUCAUGCCAACAGUUAGUAUCAAACUCUCUUUAAAGGUGAAUUGUGAAAUUUCUAUACCACUGGCACCUUCAAACAUGCAUUUCCUAGCAAUAAUUUCCAUUCCCUUGCAAUGAGUUUUGCAUCGUUUUACUACAGUAAACAUAUUUUAACCAUGAUAUUCUAAAUGAAACCAUAAUAUAAAUACGGGAAAACGAAAAACGUCAUAGUGCUGUGGUUAUUAUGGUUUACCAUAAAUACUAUUGUUUAACUAUAUUUACUGUUGUUGUUUAACCAUGGUAUUUGCAGUAAAACCAUAGUAACCACAAGAUUAACCAUAGUUAACACAAACCAAUUCAGAUAGAAAAUCCCCACCCUGUCCUCUAAGGGGCUCUUUUGUUUUUCUGAACUGAUCUUUAAAUCUACAGGGAUGCUUUGGUUAAGACACUGAGAGAGCAUGUCUACAGCUUUCAGGGGUUUCUGAUUUCACCAACAUCUAAGCAUGUCUUUUUACUUGAACAAUUGGCACUCUAGGAUGCUACUAACUCUUUAAAAACUUGUAAUCUCUUAAAAACGAUUUCUUUGUUUAAUAAAAUCUUUUGUAUUCCUCUCUUGUUUCUAUUCUCAACACCAGAGUAACUACACUUGAAUCAAAGGUUCAGAUCAUAGCACAGGAUUGCUGUAAUCUUCAAAUUUACUCAAGCCUUAUUGCUCAUAUUUAAUGGCCUAUCUGCAACAAUGAGGAGGGCGUGACUGGGCCAUGAGGGGGCACUGCAUGUUUGUCCAUGUGUCAUUAUGUUUUAUGUUGUUUUAAGUUCAGUUAUAUAAUUACUGUUCAGCUGAUUCCCGCUUCUUCCUUUAACUGUUGCAUUGGUGCUGAGUCCCGGGAGGUAGGAGGAAUGCGCUGUCGCAGAGUUCUCGCCACUUCCUUUCACCAAAAGCCACCGAGAACUGGAAGAAGCACUACUGUCCGACGGGGGAGGAGCGAGCUGUCGUCCGCCUGAGGGCGGGGGAGCGGUUGAUGACCGGGCGAUAGCCGGUGACCGGGCCUAACAUGUGCUGUAGAUGUGAAUGAGUGUCAAAUCUUAGCAGGAUCUCCUCUUGGCUGUCAGAACAGGGCCACAUGUGAUGGCAGGGUAAUGGGUACAGCUCCACCCCCCUCAUGGUGCCUUGGUUCAACACUAUGGACUCUUUCCACUGUGGACAGUGUCUUCCAGAAAGUAUUAUCUUGCACUUGUCCAUCUGGUUAUGUGGGUAAUGGAUACAGUCUUACAAGCUGUACACAGAUCAGCGAUAUUUGUGGCACCAGUGUAAAUGUACCUGCCCUUCCAAAUGGACUGGUCAGCAGUGCCAAACUCCACAGCAUGAGUGUGGAGGAGCUCUGGAAUGUCCAGCCAGUAACUUCAGCUACCCCAAUAAUACUGGAACUAGUGACUAUGAUCACCAAGUUAGCUGUGCCUGGAUUGUCAGAACACACCCUAGCAAGAUUCUCCGGAUUACCUUCUCUUUCUUUGACAUCGAGAACAGCGCCUCUUGCAACUUCGAUCCUUGCAGGUCCAUAAUGGUGAAAGUGCCUCAGCCUAUAUGAUUGGGAAAUACUGUGGCACUGCCGCCCAAGCUGAACUCUUCAGCUCGCACAAUUCCUUGAACUUCUGGUUCCACUCUGAACACACAGUCAGUCGUGGCGGCAUCACAGUGUCUUUGGAAUCCUAGCCACCAGUGUGUGGUGGGGGUGCUGACCAAUACUUAUGGUGACUUUAAGUCACCUGGUUACCCAGGUAAAUAUCCUCCUAAUCGGGACUGCUUUGGAUGGUGAACAUGAAACCUGGUCUGCUCAUCUCCUUCACUUUUGGAUCCCUCAGCCUGGAACACUAUAAUGACUGUAACUUUGACUACCUGGAGGUACUACCUCGAGUCUCAAGCUCCGAGCCCUCCAGUAUAUGGACAUUAAGCCAAAUACUUUACUUCUUCAACAUAAGAUUACAUUCACAUACGAACUACUGAAACAUAUUAGAAUAUGGGAUACAUAUCAGACAGGGAUAAAUGAAAAAGAGUAUACGAUUUGUACUGCAAAACCUGUCAAGAAAGUGUCCUGGUCCUAUUUUCACCCAUAAGAAUUAAUAUUUUCCAUAUAGAAAAAGAAUGAAGCUUUCUUUUUUAGGGCCAUUAAGAUUUUUUUUACAGUGUGACUUUAUUUUCAUAACAGUUAGGCACAUUUAUAGCCCCUGAUUCUCAUUCUAGCGAUGGAAAAAAUCCAUCUCCCAAAGGACACAUCAUAGUCUAAGAGACCUGAUUUUAGUCAUAACUAAAUUUUGACAAAAUGUGGAGUUACUGUGUUUUGCCUUUGAAUGGUACCUAUGUGUGUUUCUGUAUCCUGAAUGCAGUUUGGUUUUAGGGCACUAAUUCCUUGUAUACACAUUGCAAAUGUUAAUAAUGUAAUGUAAUAGUUAUGCAUUUCCCGUAAUUCCAGAGGCUGAAUUAUAGCUGAACAUAUAAUUUAAAUGGCUCCAUUAAUGGAAUAUUUAAAAGCACUCAGCUAAUAAAGCAGUUUAUUGGAGUUAUCCUGAUGUCAAAAUGUUGGUUAGCCUAUUUACCUUCUUUAUUCAGGCACUGUGGAUGGUCUGUUAGACUGAUAGUCUGAUAACCAUCCUGCUUGUCUCUGACUCCUGUCUGGAGAAAGCUUUUCAGCCAACUACUGUAUGUCUCAAUCAAUGCCACAACAGUUAGAAUUUUAUUAUGCCACCGGAUACGAGAAUCCAAUUUGAAAAAGCCAUGAAACUACAGCUAGAGAAGCUAGUAUUUGGCUUCAACAGCAGUAUUACAACAAGAAGACAUCUGCACACUUAAGAAAGCGGGUGUGUUUUGAGGGUGUGGAAAGAGCUGGGUCAGUUUAAAAUCAAGUGAGAAUACAGAAAAUUGGAUUUCCGAAAAUACAUAUGGACCUGCCUCUCUGAAAUUCCAAUUGGUUUAACAGAUGUUCAUUUUGGUUUGCAUGACAGAGCGUCAUCACAAAUUGAAAUGAAUGCAUUUUUGUUUUUCUUGUUUUCCAGUAAAAGUAUCUAAACAUCCUUAACCUCUUGAUAUGCAAUCGCUCGCACUCGGGAGUGACGUCACUCUGCUUACAUGUAAUAUAUAAUUUACUUUCUAAAUGUAAUUAAUGUUAACAAUUUAUACAUCUUUUCAAAGGUCUAAGGGUUCAACAUUGAUAUCAAUCUCUGUUUCAUGAUAGCAAUGCUCCAGAAACAACAAUUUAGUUAUUUGUGCCAGAAGUACAAAUGAAAACAUGCAAUAUCAAAACGGGACUUCAUACCUUUGUUAUGAAGACGCGAUCGCCAGAUGAAUCCAGUUAGCCACACUUGGGUCAACUGUCCAUGACAAGCGUUCAUUGAAAAACAUCCAAUAUCACUUUUUGUCCAUAAAAGUGAUAAAUCUGUGAAAUAUUGAUAUAUUCUCCAUUGUUUACAUGAGAUCUCACCUGAAAGAAUUACACUUCAUCAUCGUUCUUCAACAGACUAUGCAAUCUGAGCAGCAUUCAUGUUGUAAAACUGUAUAUGAUUUAUAUAUAUAUUAUAGUCUCGAAAACAAAACAAGCCUGUUUCCAAAGUCUCAUUUUUGUGUUGUCUUGAAAGGCUGAGCCUUCAUUUUACUCUGUACACCACCAGUGAUUUUACAGAGAAAAAAGCUUGCAGGAACCUCAUUUUUUGUUAGAUCAUCUUCAAAUUUGAAACAAAGCUUCUUUAGACUUGUGGCUUAGAGAAUAUUGUAUUUAUGGGUUGUCUUGGCACUUUUAUUAUUGUUGUUUUAGAUUAUAAAAACAUGUUCAGCAUAAAAUAUUUCCAUUACUAUAAACUUCAGCUUUAACAAAUAACAACAUAUAUUAAUUCUGAAACUUGGGAAAUAAAGCCCAAAGUGUCUUUCACAAGAUACUACAACUGUGUCCAUACUCCAAAGGGUUCAGUAAAUACAACCAUUUAAGUUCAUGUAUGUCAUUUUCAUGGUUUGUGCUCAAAAAGGGGGUGUGUAUCAACAGGUUAAAACAAAUCAAAAAGAUUUUGAAAUAUUUAUGCUUGAAU